rnacentral:rRNA from 1 species
ACGUUCGGAUUGCAGGCUGCAACCCGCCUGUAUGAAGUUGGAAUCGCUAGUAAUCGCGGAUCAGCAUGCCGCGGUGAAUACGUUCCCGGGCCUUGUACACACCGCCCGUCACACCAUGGGAGUCGGAAAUGCCCGAAGUCUGUGACCCAACCGCGAGGAGGGAGCAGCCGAAGGCAGGUCGGAUGACUGGGGUGAAGUCGUAACAAGGUAGC